ACGGCUCAGUAACACGUCGAUAAUCUAACCUUAGGUCUUGAAUAACCUCGGUAAACUGAGGAUAAGACAGGAUAGGAGAAACAAAUUGGAAAAUAGUUUCUCUUAAAGGCAACGCCUAAGGAUGAGUCGGCGGCAGAUUAGGUAGUUGGUGGUGUAAAGGACCACCAUGCCUACGAUCUGUAGGGGCCUUGAGAGAGGUAGCCUCGAGAAGGGCACUGAGACACUGGCCCUAGCCCUACGGGGUGCAGCAGGCGCGAAAACUUUACACUGCACGCAAGUGUGAUAAGGGAAUCCAAAGUGCUCAAGUUUUUACUUGGGCUUUUGCCAAAUGUAAGCAGUUUGGCGAAUAAGUGGUGGGUAAGACGGGUGCCAGCCGCCGCGGUAACACCUGCGCCACGAGUGGGAACCACAAUUAUUGGGCCUAAAGCGUCCGUAGCCGGUCAAGUAAAUCUUUUGUGAAAUCACCAGGCUUAACUUGGUGACGUGCAGGAGACACUGCUCGACUUGGAACCGGAGAGGAGUUGGAAGUAUGAUGGGGGGAGCGGUAAAAUGCUAUAAUCCCCAUUAGACUACCUGUGGCGAAGGCGUCCAACUAGAACGGAUUCGACGGUGAGGGACGAAAGCCAGGGGAGCGAACCGGAUUAGAUACCCGAGUAGUCCUGGCUGUAAACUCUGCGAGCUAGGUGUCACGUAUCCGUUAGGAUACGUGGUGUCGUAAUGAAGAUGUUUAGCUCGCCGCCUGGGGAGUACGGUCGCAAGACUGAAACUUAAAGGAAUUGGCGGGGGAGCAC
rnacentral:rRNA from 1 species